rnacentral:rRNA from 1 species
UAACACGUAGUUAACCUGCCCUAAGGUGGGGAAUAAUUUCGGGAAACUGAAGCUGAUACCCCUUAGUCCACGGAUACUGGAAUGUUCCGUGGAUGAAAGCUACGGCGCCCUAGGAUGGGACUGCGACGUAUCAGGCCGUUGUCAGGAUAAAAACCUGACAAACCGAUAACGCGUAGGGGCCAUGAGAGUGGGAGCCUCCAGAUGCCUUCUGAGACAUGAAGGCAGGGCCUACGGGUCGCAGCAGGCGCGAAAACUUUCCAAUGCGUAAGCGCGUGAGAAGGGAACCCUGAGUGGUCGUACUAAGUACGGCCUUUUGUCAAGUCUAAAGAGCUUGACGAAUAAGAGGUGGGCAAGACGGGUGCCAGCCGCCGCGGUAAUACCCGCGCCUCGAAUGGUCAUCACUUUUAUUGGGCCUAAAGCGUCCGUAGCCGGCCCGGCAAGUCUCUGGUGAAAUCCUGCAGCUAACUGUAGGGCGUGCUGGAGAUACUACCGGGCUUGAGACCGGGAGAGGACUGAGGUAUUCGUUGGGUAGGGGUUAAAUCCUUUAAUCCAACGAGGACCGCCUGUGGCGAAACUUUUUAGAAAAAAGUUCCACAUAAGGCGUCGGUCUGGAACGGGUCUGACGGUGAGGGACGAAAGCUAGGGGAGCGAUUGGGAUUAGAUACCCCAGUAGUCCUAGCCGUAAACGUUGCCCGUUUGGUGUGACAUGUCUUACGAAGAUAUGUCGUGCCGGAGUGUAGAUGUUAAGCGGGCCGCCUGGGGAGUACGUCCGCAAGGAUGAAACUUAAGGGAAUUGGCGGGGGAGCACACAAGGGGUGGAGGCUGCGGUUC